rnacentral:rRNA from 1 species
UGCUGCUUCGCUGACGAGUGGCGGACGGGUGAGUAAUGUCUGGGAAACUGCCUGAUGGAGGGGGAUAACUACUGGAAACGGUGGCUAAUACCGCAUAACGUCGCAAGACCAAAGAGGGGGACCUUCGGGCCUCUUGCCAUCAGAUGUGCCCAGAUGGGAUUAGCUUGUUGGUGAGGUAACGGCUCACCAAGGCGACGAUCCCUAGCUGGUCUGAGAGGAUGACCAGCCACACUGGAACUGAGACACGGUCCAGACUCCUACGGGAGGCAGCAGUGGGGAAUAUUGCACAAUGGGCGCAAGCCUGAUGCAGCCAUGCCGCGUGUAUGAAGAAGGCCUUCGGGUUGUAAAGUACUUUCAGCGGGGAGGAAGGUGUUGUGGUUAAUAACCGCAGCAAUUGACGUUACCCGCAGAAGAAGCACCGGCUAACUCCGUGCCAGCAGCCGCGGUAAUACGGAGGGUGCAAGCGUUAAUCGGAAUUACUGGGCGUAAAGCGCACGCAGGCGGUCUGUCAAGUCGGAUGUGAAAUCCCCGGGCUCAACCUGGGAACUGCAUUCGAAACUGGCAGGCUUGAGUCUUGUAGAGGGGGGUAGAAUUCCAGGUGUAGCGGUGAAAUGCGUAGAGAUCUGGAGGAAUACCGGUGGCGAAGGCGGCCCCCUGGACAAAGACUGACGCUCA